GCUUCCUAGGGGCGGUUUCAAGGUUGUGACCGGAAGAGUGAACGCGAAUAUUUGCACCGCUAGGAAAUAUUAGAUUUUUUACCUUUACGUUGUUGCAGCCUUUCGGUUGUCGUAUGGUCGCCAGCUCCUUUUAUCUACGAAAAAGCAAGGUAAAUUUCCACAGGCUUCCUUCUGUCCUUCCGUCGGAUCGCCGUCGGGUCCUCGUGCGAAGAGAUAAGUGUUUGUUACAAUCUGGUAAUAAUUCCAGACACUCACUCGAACGAGUCACUUUUAUUUAUGUUUAACUUUGUCUUUGUUUUCAGGAACUUCAGCUGCAGUCGGAUUGUCAGGACCUUUCCAGGAUUACCCGUCCCUCCAGGAUUCGCCUCAGGUAAGUUUUUUUCUUGCUUAUAGAGCCUCACCCCUCAACCCGGAUUUAAUAAGGAUUUCUUUUAUUUUCAGGUUGCCCGGAUACGUUGUCGUGGGAUCUCGUGCAGGUACGUGGCAGGUGUAGUAAAACUCAAGAUGUCACUUUUAUUUCGUUUUUCAUAACACAACGUAAAAUUUACUAAACUUCACUUCAAACGCUUACCAAAUCCCCGUACGCAACGUCUUAUCACAAUCGUGUACGCUUUGUGCAUUGUGCACCCGCCUCUCUCUAAGUUAAUCACUUGUCUACUAAAUAAAAGAACAACACCUACUCGCAUUUGGUGCCGGUCUGGUACACUUGUUUUACGCGGUCGCCAAUUCCGCGAAACUGUAGCGCGAUCUCGCGUGUGCGUAAUUUAAAUCGCGGAGAUCCUAGCCUCACGGUGGCUGAGAGUCUACUAGUUAAUCUAAUCAUGUUACGCGGUCGUUUUAUAGGCAGUCGAGCCGCCGUCCGUCGCUUUGCCGUUUGCGCCAAUCAGCGAUCGCGCCGUCUCACUUCGUGGUCUUCGUCCAAUGGGCGUGCGCGGCUGCUCCCGGCGUUGUCUCGGCCCGUCUCGCUUGCUGCAUCCAAUCAGGCUGCAGGAUGGCUGAGUCUGCAUGCGUCUCCCUACCACUGGCCGAUUGUCCAAUCCCGUCAUUUGGAACUGCACAGGCUUACAACUCGCAUCGGCUGAUGCACUUUUCGGUGCCACCACUAUGCACUUUUUUCAGAUGCGCUAUUUUCGAUCUGGUGUUUACGAAAUUUAAUCCUAUUGCUGCAUUUCCCUACGAAACGGCUAUCCACAUGCAAAACGUGUGUGAUAUUAAAAAAGUUGAAAACAAACGUAAAAUAAUUAUUAUUAAAGUUAACAAAAAAUAGUCCUGCAGCUCUCUCUGCAGAUUGCACAUAAUUGAUCAUAUAAAAUAAAACAUUUAAAGUUAUAUUGAACCAGCCUUAUGCUAUGUUCAUAAGAACUGAGCUUAAGCAUAAACGUAAAUUAAUUGUUGUGACGCUAACUCUUGUCACGUAACCAAAAUAUAUUUUAAUCUUUAAAUGAACGCAAAAUCUAGUCGUUCUUUGGCGUGUUAUCACAAUCGAUACGUAGUAUUGAAAGAAAUAAAAUAAUAAUUGCAACCAUGCAAAACUCAAAAGUUUAUCGCUCGCGCUAUGGCGCUCUCGCGCUUACGCUCGCCUUACGCGAAUUUAACCUAAUCUCUAUGUUGGUCAGUUUUCUGACAUCUAAAUACAAUAUAUCACAGAGACUAAACAAAAAUAUAAUAAGGUAAAUAAAAAUAAAUACAUAAAAAAUUAACGAAUUAAGCGCGGACUUGUGUAUUCGGUCGGAAGUCGCAUGCAAACGCGCUUUACUUUUUAAUCCGCGUGUCGUCGAUCCUACGCAACUUGACAGAUGUCGGUCUCGUGCUGGAUUGCGCCUUCCUCGGAGUCGUCCGCGUUGACAGAUUUCCGUCCUCGCGCUCUGCUUCGCUGGUUGUCAGAGUCCGCUGCGCCUCGCUAAGGGGUUGUCAUACCGUCGGUUGCAAGCUCCUUUCACCUUCCCAGGAGCAAGGAUGAUGAUGCGGAUGUCCGUCCUGCCUUGGAACGUCCGCCGUUACGCUCUGGAACGCCGCGGUCGGAGAACACUUCACGCGCAAAUUUUACAUUUUUUGAUCAAAAAUACACGCCCGUGUGAGUAGUUCGCGGAAAUACAAACUAACAAACAUGCGUACUUAUCGUAUAAUACAAAAUCAUUAGUGGUGCUAUUUACAUCAAUACAUCAUGCCGUACUCAAGCAU